rnacentral:tRNA from 1 species
GGAAUUGUGGCUCAGUGGUAGAGCACUUGCCUAGCAUGUGUAAGGCACUGGGUUCGAUUCUCAGCACCA